rnacentral:rRNA from 1 species
ACGAACGCUGGCGGCAUGCCUAACACAUGCAAGUCGAACGGGGGUAGCAAUACCCUAGUGGCGAACGGGUGAGUAACACAUAAGCAAUCUGCCCUUCGACAGGGGGAUAACAGCGGGAAACUGCUGCUAAUACCGCAUAAGACCACGGUACCGCAUGGUACAGGGGUAAAAACGAAUCAGUGGUGAAGGAUGAGCUUAUGUCCCAUUAGCUAGUUGGUGAGAUAACAGCCCCACCAAGGCGACGAUGGGUAGCCGACCUGAGAGGGUGAUCGGCCACACUGGAACUGAGACACGGUCCAGACUCCUACGGGAGGCAGCAGUGGGGAAUAUUGGGCAAUGGAGGAAAAACCUCUUACCCAGCAAUGCCGCGUGAGUGAAGAAGGUCUUCGGAUUGUAAAGCUCUUUGAUUGGGGACGAAGAAAGUGACGGUACCCAAAGAACAAGCCCCGGCUAACUACGUGCCAGCCGCAGC